CUUCCUUAUACAAGGGUUGGGAGUUGUUUUGGGCCAUCCCAUCCUAAAUUUUGUGUUUGCCUCUCUGGGGUUGAUCACCUAACCUUGUGAGAAAUAGGAAAGUAAUGCUAAUCCUACUAGCAAUAGAAAAACAGAAAAAUAAUUCCCUCAUAUUAGGAAUAGUAAACUAAUCCGAAAUAAUAAGACUGGAAAUCAACAACAAACAAGAAACCAAAUAAGCAAUGGUCUGAAUCCCAAUUAAAUCCGGAUUAUUGGUUAUGCUACAUCAUUCUUCAAGGGUGACAAGAACUCAACACCGGUGAGUCAAUGAUCGGAGAAGACAACGGUCACUAAGGGUAGUGUCGACGAUGGGUAUAGGUAUGAUGAACUGUUGGUGGAUGUCCGGUAAGAACCGAAGUCGGAAGAAUGAACUCGAUACAAUCUAAAGAUGAUUUUCGUAUUGAUGCAGGAGAGAUGGAUCAAGUUUAAAAUGUGAUCUGUGUGGGACUAGGCUGCAACAUUAAAAUCCAGGUAGGGGGACCUCCGUGCCAAAUCUUAUAUUCUUAUGUGUGUAUGAAGUAAAUAGAUAUGUAUGAGUGAAUGGAAAAAUCUGCAUUGUUUUUAUUUGGCAUCCCUAUGUCUAGUUUUGUUGGUAAUGGAUAUCUUCUUUGUACGAUGUGAUAUCCAAAGAUCAUUAUUAUGAUAACUUGAGGGUGAAGGGUCACAUGCAUUGGGACUUGGAAUUCGAUACCUUAACCCUACAAGUUAUGUUGACUAAUUAGACUUACAAUCAAAGCGGAUGGGGAUAGACUAUGAGAUAUAUAACUACAAAAUGGACAAUCUCGCUACCUUAACAUAGAAGUUGAAUCAUUUAAUCUUUUGUAAGGGUAGUUGGCCUUAUAGAUCGAUUAUAAAGUAAUGACACUGGGCCCAAAAAACUUGAUUUCAAAAGUUGAUUGAGCAUCCUUGUCUUCUUGAAAACUAAAUGCAAAGUUUUCGUUAUGCAUUGUUAUUAGUUUUAAGAUAAACUCUGCGAUCUCAAUAUAGUAGUAGGGAGAAGGGCAUAAGAACGUAUGUGAUACUUAAUGGCGGAUUCAAGAUUCUCGGACCAAGGAGUCUUAGAAAGACGGCGACGGCACAAGGCGGUGGUGGUCGGCGCUAGCGAAGAGGUAGUGGUGGAGGUUGGGAUGUUGGGGCUCCUAGGGUUGUGAGAUAUUAAUUUGGGAAUGAAAGGGUUUGGUGACAUGCUGUGGAGUUGGAUAAAUGAGAGGGGAUGAGGAUGAUCUUUUGUUUUGUUUUAGUUUUAAAAGACUAGACCCAAAACAAUGUAGUUUUGAGGCCAAGUCAAUUAAAAAAAUUUGAAUUAGCCCUGGACCAAACAAUGUCCUUUGGCCAGGCUAUUUUUAAAAAAAAAAUUUGGACCUUGCGUGCAUGCAACAGCUGGGCAAUGCGCAGCACAACGCAAGGCAAGCCCACAGGGGACGUUCAUCAAGCACCUUGUGUGCACACAAAGGGUCGCUCUACUGUUAUCCAAGGGGUCACUCAUGGAGUUCGUAGCCAGAUUUCUAGCAUCCCAAGGGUUCGUGCAACCCUUCUUGUCCCAACAUGCAUCCACUCCUGGUGAUGCCUACCCCUAUGUGUAAAUCUUGCAAGUACUAUGGUACGAAUGACUUUGAUUUGCGACCUUGAGGUCAUUCGAUGAAUAUGUUAUCUUUUGAUUCAUAAGAGCAUCCACAAUGGGCUCCUAAACCACCUCCUUAGACAAAUUUUAGGGAGGAAUUGGAAAAAUGCAACUCCAACCAUGCUCCCUAUCCACCUCCUAAAAUAUGGAGUCCUCUAGAAGCUCCUAAAUCUGAGGAGAGAGAAAGGACUCAUAGUGACUCCUUAUAAUUUAAUGCUGCUUUAUUUAAUGAGUAUUUCAAACCUUUAUUUAAUGUUAACUAUUUUUUAUUUUAUUUCAUAAUAGAGAUUAACCAAUUAAAAAAGAGUUAUAGCAUUUAUAACUCUCCAAAUUAUGGAGUAUGGUUGGAGUUGAAAGUUUUUAGAGAGCUCCUAAAAUAUUUCUUAUAUUUUUAGCUAAAUUUUAGCUAAGA
rnacentral:lncRNA from 1 species